GUGGGGGAUAUUGCACAAUGGGGGAAACCCUGAUGCAGCAACGCCGCGUGAGGGAAGACGGUUUUCGGAUUGUAAACCUCUGUCAUCGGUGACGAUAAUGACGGUAGCCGAUGAGGAAGCUCCGGCUAACUACGUGCCAGCAGCCGCGGUAAUACGUAGGGAGCGAGCGUUGUCCGGAAUUACUGGGUGUAAAGGGUGCGUAGGCGGGCAGUCAAGUCAGGCGUGAAAUCUAUGGGCUUAACCCAUAGUCUGCGUUUGAAACUGAUUGUCUUGAGUGAAGUAGAGGUAAGCGGAAUUCCCGGUGUAGCGGUGAAAUGCGUAGAGAUCGGGAGGAACACCAGUGGCGAAGGCGGCUUACUGGGCUUUUACUGACGCUGAGGCACGAAAGCAUGGGUAGCAAACAGGAUUAGAAACCCUAGUAGUCC
rnacentral:rRNA from 1 species